rnacentral:rRNA from 1 species
UACGUAGGGGGCAAGCGUUGUCCGGAUUUAUUGGGCGUAAAGAGCGUGUAGGCGGCCAAACAGGUCCGUUGUGAAAACUGGAGGCUCAACCUCCAGACGUCGACGGAAACCGUGUGGCUAGAGUCCGGAAGAGGAGAGUGGAAUUCCUGGUGUAGCGGUGAAAUGCGCAGAUAUCAGGAAGAACACCGAUGGCGAAGGCAGCCCCCUGGGUCGACACUGACGCUCAGGCACGAAAGCGUGGGGAGCAAACAGG